rnacentral:lncRNA from 10 species
GUAUUUGUAUUAGAAACAAAUGGUCCUUCACCAUUUAUCUUUUUAAAUAGUCAUUGCAUUAGCUGACCACUAAUUAACACAUGACUAGCCUAGCCCUGAUUUUUCCUCUCUAGACACUCUGAACUAUAUCUGCUUUUUCUUGCCCAUGAAGUGGUUUUUGCCUGGUAAACUCUGCCUCUUGCUUAAAGACUAGACUCAAAUGUCCCUCUGAAGCCUUUCCCUUCUUCUCAGGGCGACAUUUGUCUUUCCUUCUCUCCCUUUUUGCAUGCUCUUUCACAAAUAAAUAGCUCUCAAAAUGUCAAUUGGAAUUACUUGUUUUGUGUACCCAACCUACCUACCUAGACUAUAAAGGUAGGGUCUGUAUCUUAUCCUUCAAGGUAAUUAUUCUCGGGAACUAGCAAAAUGAUUGUUAUAUAGUCAAAGCUUAAUAAAUUAUUACAUGUAUGUGUAGAUUGAUGAAUGGAUAGUGGUCGGACUUUAGUUCACUUUCAGUUGUUCAGUAGCUAAAUAUCCCCGGUGACAAUUAUUCAAGGCUUUAAUGUUGUUCCUCCUUUUGCUUGCCUUUUGUACAUUUUCCUAUUCAUUUGCAUUCUCGCUGCAAAAGAAACAAAGAAGAAAUUUGCAUUGGCCUUUUUUAUUCUAUAUUUACUUUUCUGAUAGAAGAAGACAUUAAAACUCCAGGCCAAAUGAAAUUGCUGAAUUAUCUGAGUAUUUCAAUUAUUCAUGAU